rnacentral:rRNA from 1 species
CAGCCGCCGCGGUAAUACCGGCGGCCCGAGUGGUGGCCGCUAUUAUUGGGCCUAAAGCGUCCGUAGCCGGGCUGGUAAGUCCUCCGGGAAAUCUGGUCGCUUAACGAUCAGACUUCCGGAGGAUACUGCUGGCCUAGGGACCGGGAGAGGCCGAGGGUAUUCCCGGGGUAGGGGUGAAAUCCUGUAAUCCCGGGAGGACCACCUGUGGCGAAGGCGCUCGGCUGGAACGGGUCCGACGGUGAGGGACGAAGGCCAGGGGAGCGAACCGGAUUAGAUACCCGGGUAGUCCUGGCUGUAAACGAUGCGGACUAGGUGUCGGGCAAGCUAAGGGCUUGUCCGGUGCCGCAGGGAAGCCGUUAAGUCCGCCGCCUGGGGAGUACGGCCGCAAGGCUGAAACUUAAAGGAAUUGGCGGG